ensembl:snRNA U6 U6 spliceosomal RNA
GUGCUUGCUUCGGCAGCACAUAUACUAAAAUUGGAAGGAUACAGAGAAGAUUACCAUGGCCCUUAUGCGAGAAUGACAUGCAAAUUUGUGAAGCCUUCCAAAAAUUU